CUGCAAUGUUCCUAACCUGCAAUGGAUGAUACGUUUAUAAUUUCACAUAAGUUUUUAUCACAACAGAAAUCAUCUAUAUGAAGCUCUUCAGCUGAUGCAGAGAAGGCCAGGCCAACAGACAAAGUUAAAGGACAUUCUGCCAGGCUAAUGGUUCAGAUUAACCUCAAUUUGGCAAAUUUGGUUUUACAGUCUGAUAGCAUGUGACUGAUGGAUGCCUCCGGUUACUGCAUCUUCUUACUGCCCGGGGAUAAGGUAUCUGCAUGUGAAGUACACUCAGCGAUUAAAGAGCUCAAACAGACGACGAUGAGAGAAGAAUAGUUCUUUAAAGCAAUUUUCCUGCAUUCCAUCCUCCCGAGAGUCACUUCUCUUAUGAUGUAAAACUGCUUCAGUCAGCACACACCUUUUACAAAAGAUCUUCAGAGAUCUCUUGUAUGAUGCCUCGUGCAUAGCUGCUGUAUCUACCAGUAUAACGUCACAUUUAGAAACACUACAAGCACUCCAUCCACCACAGGGUGCAUUGGUGUUUGGGACUAUUUUGAGCUGUGGACUAAUACACAUUUGAUGCCCUACUGAUUAUUGGUGAUUAUUUACAGCAGCAGGAUGGUGAGGAUGCGAUCACAUCAAAAUAAACAGUUCCUGUGUUUAUGGACAAUCAUCCAUCCCCCAGCCAGCAGCUGUCUGACAGCAUGAGCUCCAGGUGCAGGCCCUCGGCACUCAGCUUUGGUUUCUGCCUCAUCACUCAUUCAUGAGGACCUUACAGGCCGCGACGGAGGCUCCUUGGCAUGCAUCGUAAAGGCCCUCAGCCUGAUACAGUAUAAUUACUGUGUUUUAAUAGAGCUACAGAUCAACAAAUAGUAUUAAAGGAUUUCCAGUGA